GCCUUAAGUUUUGCCUGCAGCGAGUGAAAUGCAUGCUCGGACGGGUUGAGAUCAGGUGACUGACUUGGCCAUUGCAGAGUAUUCCACUUCUUUGCUUUAAAAAAUUCCUGGGUCGCUUUCGCAAUAUGUUUUGGGUCACUGUCCAUCUGUAAAGUGAAGCGCCGUCCAAUUAACUUCACUGUAUUUGGAUGAAUCUGAGCAGACAUUAUAUUCCUACGUGCUUCAGAAUUCAUCCGGCUGCUUCUGUCUUCUGUCACAUCACCACUGGUAGCCAAAGGAAGCCAUGCAUGCCCAUGCCAACACACUGCCUCCACCCUGUUUCACAGAUGAUGUGGUAUGCUUUGGAUCAUGAGCUGAUCAUGAGCUGUUCCAACCCUUUUCCAUACUUUUUUCUUCCCAUCAUUCUGGUACAUGUUGAUCUUAGUUUCAUCUGUCCAAAGAAUGCUUUUCCAGAACUGGCUUUUUUUUUUUUUUGAUGUUUUUUGGCAAAGUCUAAUCUGGCUUUUCUAUUCUUGAGGCUUAUAAAUGGUUUGCACCUUGUGGUGAACCCUCUGUAUUUGCUCUUGUGAAGUCUUCUCUUUAUGGUAGACUUGGAUAAUGAUAUGCCUACCUCCUGAAGCGUGUUCUUCACUUGGCUGGAUGUUGCGACGGGGUUUUUCUUCACCAUGGAAAAGAUCCUACGAUCAUCCACCACUGUUGUCUUCCAUGGACGUCCAGGCCUUUUCGUGUUGCGGCGCUCACCACCUAAAGAUGGCCUGUUUCACUUGCAUUGAGAGCUCCUUUGACCACAUGCUGAAGGUUCACAGCGACAGCUUCCAAAUGCGAAUGCCACACCUGGAAUCAACUCCAGACCUUUUCACGUGCUUAGCUGAUGAAAAAAUAACAAAAGGAAUCGCCCACACCUGUCCAUGAAACAGCUUUUGAGUUAACUGUCCGAUUACUUUUGGUCCCUUGAAAAAGAGGGGGCUACAUAUUAAAGAGCUGUAGUUCCUAAACCUUUCCUCCAAUGUGGAUGUGAAUACAUUUAAAUUAUAAGAAGAGAGACUACACUUUAAGCCCAUGUUCAUUAUUUAACUGUUUUGGUAGACAAAUAAAAUAACUAAACUUG